ACCGGCAGCUCAAGUGGUGGCCAUUUUUAUUGGGCCUAAAGCGUUCGUAGCCGGUUUGAUAAGUCUCUGGUGAAAUCCCGCAGCUUGACUGUGGGACUUGCUGGAGAUACUAUUAGACUUGAGGUCGGGAGAGGUUAGGGGUACUCCCAGAGUAGGGGGGACGGCCUAUAAUCCUGGGAGGACCACCUGUGGCGAAGGCGCCUGACUGGAGCAAAACUGGCGGUGAGUAACGGAAGCCAGGGGCGCGGAGCG
rnacentral:rRNA from 1 species